rnacentral:tRNA from 1 species
GGGGAUGUAGCUCAGCUGGGAGAGCACCUGCUUUGCAAGCAGGGGGUCGGCGGUUCGAAUCCGCUCAUCUCCA